rnacentral:rRNA from 1 species
UACGGAGGAUCCGAGCGUUAUCCGGAAUUACUGGGCGUAAAGAGUUGCGUAGGUGGCAUAGUAAGUAGGUAGUGAAAGCGUGUGGCUCAACCAUACUCACAUUAUCUAAACUGCUAAGCUAGAAUAUAGAAGAGGUAGCUGGAAUUCCCUGUGUAGGAGUGAAAUCCGUAGAUAUAGGGAGGAACACCAAUGGCGUAGGCAGGCUACUGGUCUAUUAUUGACACUAAGGCACGAAAGCGUGGGGAGCGAACGGG